GAGACCGGUCGAGUCGCGUUAACAGCGUAACCCUGGGCAGCCGGGAAAGAAACAAUCUCCAGGAUUGUGACAAAAGGACUUUGUGGAAUGGCUCCUGUCGCUUGCUUCCAUUUGCGUAAAAAGUGGGAAAGCACAGACCAGCCUGUGGGAAAACCAUCUCUGGAAGGAGCCAAGGUACCUGGGAAGACUGGUGCUGAGGGCAGAAGCCGGGUGCCUGGGGGACUGGGCAGGAGGGGGACUUUCUCCGUGUGCUCUUUUGAACUCUGGGAGUUAAAAGCACAUGCCUUUAAAAGGACAAACCGUAACAUUCCUGAAGGAUGUGAGCCUGCGGUUGCCGGUGCCCCCCAUCUGGAAAUGAAGCCAAGUCGGAGUCCCGCAAAGCUAGAAACAGAGACAGCAGAUCCCCCGAUGAUGUCACGGGAGUGCCUGGUUCCUGGUAUUUCCAGCUCCUGGUGUCAGCACAGUGCCUGGCAUCGGAGAAUGAAGGAGCCCUCGUUUCACGGAUGAGGAACACGGGGCCCCGGGAGAAAGCCAUUUGCCUCACGCAAAUAUGGAGAGCUGGGGCUAGAUAGGUCCCAAGUUUCCUGGCUGUCAGGCCAAAUCAGUCGCUCGAUUCAACAAGUCUUCAUUGAUUAUCUCCCACCUGCCAGGCUCCGGACAUGGCAUGUGAGACCGAAGGAAAUAAGGAUGAUGUGGCCCCUUGCCAACCACACAUACAGUCUGGACCCCCCUUCCCCCCAACAGAGGAACUUAUUAACUCCAGUGAGCCUCUGAGGAAUUGAGGGUUGCAGAGUCCGGAUGUGCGACCAGGAGGCCUCCCAGGCUCCCAGUCCCAGAAGACUGGGAUCUGCCUGCGUCUCGUCUUCCCCACACCAGGCUCUGGCGUAUGGCCUCCCCACCACCCAAGCCCACGCUGCUCUGUUUCCCAGAGGCAGGAGGCCCGGGCCUGUCCUGCUGCGGUUACAGGAGCCAGCUCCCUGGCCACACUGGUCACAGAUGAUCGGAGCUUCAUCAGCUCAAACAGGGCUGUCCUCACAGGAACGGUGGGCACACAGGCCCUGCCCGAACCCAUUCUCCCCAAACAGGAGCCUAGGCGUUCACCGUUAGCGGUCCAUUUGCCUGCUGUGCUGUGUGUUUGUCUUUUAAAACACUCCUCACUGAAACUGUAGUUCACCAUCAUUCAUUCAUUCUUCAUCGGCCUGCCUUGUUUCAGGCACUGUGCUUGGGACUCAUUCAGGGAGAAUAGAUUAAAAAGGUACCGCUUUGUGUAUAUAUAUUGUUUUAUACACACACACACAAACUUUUUAAAACAGGUAUCAUUCUGGAGGGGGGGGGGGGGGGAGUUGAUUCAUUAAUUUAAAAAGACUCCAUCGAGGCAUUUCUCUGAGCCUAGUUUUCCCCUAAUGUAAAAUCAAGACAAUACCAACCUCAUAGGGUUGUCGUGAGAGUCAGUUCAUCAUGGCAAGUAUAUAGAACAGCAUUCCUAAGAGCACUGUUAUAAUAG